rnacentral:rRNA from 4 species
UCUGGCGGCAGUAGCGCGGUGGUCCCACCUGACCCCAUGCCGAACUCAGAAGUGAAACGCCGUAGCGCCGAUGGUAGUGUGGGGUCUCCCC